GGGACCCUUCCCAACAAAAUCUCAAAUAGUGGCAUUUACACAAGCAAUGGUAUGUAAUGCCCUGUACGAGAUUUGGUUGGUGAGAAGUCUC
rnacentral:pre_miRNA from 18 species